rnacentral:rRNA from 1 species
ACGCUCGACACCUACGGAGGCAGCAGUGGGGAAUAUUGCACAAUGGGGGAAACCCUGAUGCAGCGACGCCGCGUGAGCGAAGAAGUAUUUCGGUAUGUAAAGCUCUAUCAGCAGGGAAGAAAAUGACGGUACCUGACUAAGAAGCCCCGGCUAACUACGUGCUAGCAGCCGCGGUAAUCUGAGCGGGCUGGCAAGGC